rnacentral:rRNA from 1 species
UACAGAGGGUGCGAGCGUUAAUCGGAAUUACUGGGCGUAAAGCGCACGUAGGUGGCGACGUAAGUCGGGUGUGAAAGCCCCGGGCUCAACCUGGGAAUUGCAUUCGAGACUGCAUUGCUGGAGUACGGAAGAGGAAGGCGGAAUUCCGGGCGUAGCGGUGGAAUGCGUAGAGAUCCGGAAGAACACCGGUGGCGAAGGCGGUUGGCUGGGCCAUAGCUGACACUGAGGCGCGACAGCGUGGGGAGCAAACAGG